GUUACAAAGAAGGAAAACUAAGCGAUGGCAUCAUGCAUUACACAUGUGGUCUGUCAUUUACUUUGUAAACAUUGAUUUCCACGUUUGAAUGUCGGAUUGAUUCAAAGAGAAAAGAGUGGAUGUUUCCUGCCCUGCCCCGGAAGAUGCCUCGAGUUUUUACAAGAGGUUGGGACUGGACAUUUUGGCCCCGUCCUCCACUUCCGGGCAGACCCAGGAGGUCUCAGUUUUUUUAUUUAUGUACAUGUAUCGUUAAUCUGAAAAGCUAGGCAGCCUAAGAAACGUCCUGUUCAGCAGGCGAGCCACACAGCUAACCUGACCACAACGCCCACUCAAAGAUCCGACAAAGUGGGACAACAGUGGCACCAGUCUCAGCAGAGAGAAAGGCAGGCGCCUCAUCAUAUCAGACAAAAUUAUCCUCAUGAAAACAGGUACAUUGAAAGAGCUGCAACUGUGAAUACUGCUGCCACCUACCGACCGCAAUAUGCACCGGUCCAUCGUCCUCAUGAGCAACAAACUCAUUAUAGGACAGGCGUGGUA